rnacentral:lncRNA from 1 species
AAGGGGAUCCUAUUGGUUUCUGCGUUGAUAAGAUUGGUUGGAUCUGAAUCCCCUAGAGGACCGAGACAUUGAAGGUGUGGUUGAUCGGUGGGGAUGACAAUUUUAUUGGACAACUCCUAGUGAUUUUGGGGGAAUAAAAAUACAAAGAAAAAGGAAAAGGAGAAUAUUCAGUAAGAUGAAUCGCGGAUGAAUAGGAAUAAAAAAAAUAUACACAGAAGAUGAGAUGGAAAUCUGACCUCAGGGACGACGAAGCCAAUGGCCAUCUUGUCGUGAAGAGGACGUUGGAGGGCACCGGAGUUGAUGAAGAGGAGUGCUUGUCGGAGGUCUUGAAGGUUGUAAAUGGCGCCGCCGCUGGAAAAGUAAAGUUGGAUAGUAGAA